GGGUGGGUCCGGCGCGGCGGAAACCUGCGAACCCCGCCAGGUCCGAGAGGAAGCAACGGUAAGGAGGAAAUUCUGGGUGCCGUCGGGUAGCUUGCCCGGG
rnacentral:SRP_RNA from 1 species